UACGUAGGGGGCAAGCGUUGUCCGGAAUCAUUGGGCGUAAAGAGCGUGUAGGCGGCCCGGUAAGUCCGCUGUGAAAGUCGGGGGCUCAACCCUCGAAUGCCGGUGGAUACUGUCGGGCUAGAGUGCGGAAGAGGCGAGUGGAAUUCCUGGGUGUAGCGGUGAAAUGCGUAGAUAUCGGGAGGAACACCAGUGGCGAAGGCGGCUACCUGGCCCACUCUUGACGCUGAGGCGCGAAAGCGAGGGGAGCAAACGGG
rnacentral:rRNA from 1 species